rnacentral:rRNA from 1 species
UGGGGAAUAUUGCACAAUGGGGCAACCCUGACGCAGCAACGCCGCGUGCAGGAAGAAGGUCUUCGGAUUGUAAACUGUUGUCGCAAGGGAAGAAGACAGUGACGGUACCUUGUGAGAAAGUCACGGCUAACUACGUGCCAGCAGCCGCGGUAAUACGUAGGGAGCGAGCGUUGUCCGGAAUUACUGGGUGUAAAGGGAGCGUAGGCGGGAUCGCAAGUCAGAUGUGAAAACUAUGGGCUUAACCCAUAAACUGCAUUUGAAACUGUGGUUCUUGAGUGAAGUAGAGGUAAGCGGAAUUCCUAGUGUAGCGGUGAAAUGCGUAGAUAUUAGGAGGAACAUCAGUGGCGAAGGCGGCUUACUGGGCUUUAACUGACGCUGAGGCUCGAAAGCGUGGGGAGCAAAUAGGAUUAGAUACCCUGGUAGUCCACGCCGUAAACGAUGAUUACUAGGUGUGGGGGGACUGACCCCUUCCGUGCCGCAGCAAACGCAAUAAGUAAUCCACCUGGGGAGUACGACCGCAAGGUUGAAACUCAAAGGAAUUGACGGGGGCCCGCACAAGCAGUGGAGUAUGUGGAUUAAUUCGAAGCAACGCGAAGAACCUUACCAGGUCUUGACAUCGUAUGCAUAGCUCAGAGAUGAGUGAAAUCUCUUCGGAGACAUAUAGACAGGUGGUGCAUGGUUGUCGUCAGCUCGUGUCGUGAGAUGUUGGGUUAAGUCCCGCAACGAGCGCAACCCUUACUGUUAGUUGCUACGCAAGAGCACUCUAGCAGGACUGCCGUUGACAAAACGGAGGAAGGUGGGGAUGACGUCAAAUCAUCAUGCCCCUUAUGACCUGGGCCUCACACGUACUACAAUGGCUGUCAACAGAGGGAAGCAAAGCCGCGAGGUGGAGCGAACCCCUAAAAGCAGUCUUAGUUCGGAUUGUAGGCUGCAACCCGCCUACAUGAAGUCGGAAUUGCUAGUAAUCGCAGAUCAGCAUGCUGCGGUGAAUACGUUCCC